UACGUGAGGGGCCAAGCGUUGUCCGGAUUUAUUGGGCGUAAAGAGCGUGUAGGCGGCCAUGUAGGUCCGGUGUGAAAACCUCGAGGCUUAACCUCCGAGAUGUCAUCGGAAACCAUUUGGCUAGAGUCCGGAAGAGGAGAGUCGGAAGUUCCUGGUGUAGCGGUGAAAUGCGCAGAUAUCAGGAAGAACACCAAUGGCGAAAGCAGCUCUCUGGGACGGUACUGACGCUGAGACGCGAAAGCGUGGGGAGCGAACAGG
rnacentral:rRNA from 1 species